rnacentral:rRNA from 1 species
UGCAGUCGAACGGCAGCACGGGAGCAAUCCUGGUGGCGAGUGGCGAACGGGUGAGUAAUAUAUCGGAACGUGCCCAGUCGUGGGGGAUAACGCAGCGAAAGCUGUGCUAAUACCGCAUACGAUCUCUGGAUGAAAGCGGGGGACUCGUAAGAGCCUCGCGCGAUUGGAGCGGCCGAUAUCAGAUUAGCUAGUUGGUGGGGUAAAGGCCCACCAAGGCGACGAUCUGUAGCUGGUCUGAGAGGACGACCAGCCACACUGGAACUGAGACACGGUCCAGACUCCUACGGGAGGCAGCAGUGGGGAAUUUUGGACAAUGGGCGCAAGCCUGAUCCAGCAAUGCCGCGUGCAGGAUGAAGGCCUUCGGGUUGUAAACUGCUUUUGUACGGAACGAAAAGGUCUGCCUUAAUACGGUGGGCCCAUGACGGUACCGUAAGAAUAAGCACCGGCUAACUACGUGCCAGCAGCCGCGGUAAUACGUAGGGUGCGAGCGUUAAUCGGAAUUACUGGGCGUAAAGCGUGCGCAGGCGGUUAUAUAAGACAGAUGUGAAAUCCCCGGGCUCAACCUGGGACCUGCAUUUGUGACUGUAUAGCUAGAGUACGGUAGAGGGGGGGAUGGAAUUCCGCGUGUAGCAGUGAAAUGCGUAGAUAUGCGGAGGAACACCCGAUGGCGAANGGCAUCCCCUGGACCUGUACUGACGCUCAUGCA